rnacentral:rRNA from 1 species
CAGCACCUCAAGUGGUCAGGAUGAUUAUUGGGCCUAAAGCAUCCGUAGCCGGCGCUGUAAGUUUUCGGUUAAAUCUGUACGCUCAACGUACAGGCUGCCGGGAAUACUGCAGCGCUAGGGAGUGGGAGAGGUAGACGGUACUCGGUAGGAAGGGGUAAAAUCCUUUGAUCUAUUGAUGACCACCUGUGGCGAAGGCGGUCUAUCAGAACACGUCCGACGGUGAGGGAUGAAAGCUGGGGGAGCAAACCGGAUUAGAUACCCGAGUAGUC